rnacentral:rRNA from 1 species
GAUGAACGCUGGCGGCGUGCCUAAUACAUGCGAGUCGAGCGAACACACGAGGAGCUUGCUCCUCUGACGUUAGCGGCGGACGGGUGAGUAACACGUGGAUAACCUACCUAUAAGACUGGGAUAACUUCGGGAAACCGGAGCUAAUACCGGAUAAUAUAUUGAACCGCAUGGUUCAAUAGUGAAAGACGGUUUUGCUGUCACUUAUAGAUGGAUCCGCGCCGCAUUAGCUAGUUGGUAAGGUAACGGCUUACCAAGGCAACGAUGCGUAGCCGACCUGAGAGGGUGAUCGGCCACACUGGAACUGAGACACGGUCCAGACUCCUACGGGAGGCAGCAGUAGGGAAUCUUCCGCAAUGGGCGAAAGCCUGACGGAGCAACGCCGCGUGAGUGAUGAAGGUCUUCGGAUCGUAAAACUCUGUUAUUAGGGAAGAACAAAUGUGUAAGUAACUAUGCACGUCUUGACGGUACCUAAUCAGAAAGCCACGGCUAACUACGUG